UACGGGGGAUGCAAGCGUUAUCCGGAUUUAUUGGGUUUAAAGGGAGCGUAGGCGGGUUGUUAAGUCAGUUGUGAAAGUUUGCGGCUCAACCGUAAAAUUGCAGUUGAUACUGGCAUCCUUGAGUACAGUAGAGGUAGGCGGAAUUCGUGGUGUAGCGGUGAAAUGCUUAGAUAUCACGAAGAACUCCGAUUGCGAAGGCAGCUUACCAGUCUGCGACUGACGCUCAGGCACGAAAGCGUGGGUAUCGAACAGG
rnacentral:rRNA from 1 species